rnacentral:rRNA from 1 species
CAGUAGCCGCGGGAAUACGAAGGGGGCUAGCGUUGUUCGGAUUUACUGGGCGCAAAGGGCGCGUAGGCGGACUGAUAAGUCAGGGGUGAAAUCCCAAGGCUCAACCUUGGAACUGCCUUUGAUACUGUUUGUCUUGAGUUCGAGAGAGGUAAGUGGAACUGCGAGUGUAGAGGUGAAAUUCGUAGAUAUUCGCAAGAACACCAGUGGCGAAGGCGGCUUACUGGCUCGAUACUGACGCUGAGGCGCGAAAGCGUGGGGAGCAAACAGGAUUAGAUACCCCAGUAGUCCCUGUCUCUUAUAA